GGAGGCAUAGCUGACGCGGAGCAAGCACCGGUCUGAAGAGCCAGAGAGGUUGGUUCGACUCCAACUGCCUCCACCA
rnacentral:tRNA from 1 species